ensembl:bidirectional_promoter_lncRNA Gm44140 predicted gene, 44140
GACUCUUCCGAAAUACAAUAGUCAUUUCGCCGACAGUGGUUAGAACAGCCCCUGGCACUCGCGUAUACCUUCGGGGGCGGGAGAUUCGUGCAGUUUAACUCAGUCUAGCCAUUGAACUUGCCACGUAGCCCACACUGGUCUGGAAUUUGAAAUCUAUCGGCCUCAAACUCUGUCAAAGUGUUACAGGCAGAUCAGAGAACUAAAUUUAAAGUCUCAUCAGGACCCUGGACCCACUUCUGGAACCAAUGAUGGUAUCCACUAAGGAUUUGGUAAGAUGAUUGGACACUCUCAUGAGUUCUGGGGUUAAGUUUACUUAAGCCCCCUAUACCUACCUGCCUUUGGAACUGAUGAAACGUAAUCCACUCCAGUUAGCUAGACUAAAAGGGAAAGAGUCACCAGCUAAUUACGCAGAAACAUGAGGUCCAGUCCUCGCUUAAGUGGAAUGGCAAAAGGGGUGUAUUGCUUCUGUUGUCUCUCCUCCUUGUGAAUAGUCACGCUUCUGUUGGUUGCUUGCUCGUGGUUAUGGUUACUCAAACAGAUUUGGCAGCUAAGAGAGCUAAAGGUGAAAUGAAGGAGACAGCAUGACCCAGAAAGUGCCAAUCUCCCUGUUACCACAUCUGAGAAAGAGAACUUCUAGGGCUUUGCUUCUGCCUCCCUGGUUUCAUCAGAUCCUCU